rnacentral:rRNA from 1 species
GCAUGGUCUUAGCUUGCUAAGGCUGAUGGCGACCGGCGCACGGGUGAGUAACACGUAUCCAACCUGCCGUCUACUCUUGGCCAGCCUUCUGAAAGGAAGAUUAAUCCAGGAUGGCAUCAUGAGUUCACAUGUCCGCAUGAUUAAAGGUAUUUUCCGGUAGACGAUGGGGAUGCGUUCCAUUAGAUAGUAGGCGGGGUAACGGCCCACCUAGUCAACGAUGGAUAGGGGUUCUGAGAGGAAGGUCCCCCACAUUGGAACUGAGACACGGUCCAAACUCCUACGGGAGGCAGCAGUGAGGAAUAUUGGUCAAUGGGCGAUGGCCUGAACCAGCCAAGUAGCGUGAAGGAUGACUGCCCUAUGGGUUGUAAACUUCUUUUAUAAAGGAAUAAAGUCGGGUAUGCAUACCCGUUUGCAUGUACUUUAUGAAUAAGGAUCGGCUAACUCCGUGCCAGCAGCCGCGGUAAUACGGAGGAUCCGAGCGUUAUCCGGAUUUAUUGGGUUUAAAGGGAGCGUAGAUGGAUGUUUAAGUCAGUUGUGAAAGUUUGCGGCUCAACCGUAAAAUUGCAGUUGAUACUGGAUGUCUUGAGUGCAGUUGAGGCAGGCGGAAUUCGUGGUGUAGCGGUGAAAUGCUUAGAUAUCACGAAGAACUCCGAUUGCGAAGGCAGCCUGCUAAGC